UGUAUGCGGCAUCUUGUCGUGCUGGUGGUGGAAGCCUAGAAAAAGUAUCGGGUGUUGCUGAACCGUGUUGAUACAUCAAC
rnacentral:misc_RNA from 1 species